GACGAACGCUGGCGGCGUGCCUAAUACAUGCAAGUCGAACGAAGUGGGGACGGGUGAGUAACACGUGGGUAACCUCCCAUCAGAGGGGAUAACACUUGGAAACAGGUGCUAAACCGAUACUGAUUGAUGGACCCGCGGGGCAUUAGCUAGUGGGUGAGGUAAAGGCUCACCAAGGCCACGAUGCAUAGCCGACAUGCAAGGAUGACCGUCCACACUGGGACUUAGACACGGCCCAGACUCCCACGAGAGGUAGCAGUAGGGAAGCUUCGGCAAUGGACGAAAGUCUGACCGAGCAACGCCGCGUGAGUGAAGAAGCUUUUCGGAUCGUAAAACUCUGUUGUUAGAGAAGCGGUAUCUAACCAGAAAGCCACGGCUAACUACGUGCCAGCAGCCGCGGUAAUAC
rnacentral:rRNA from 1 species